rnacentral:rRNA from 2 species
AAAUCUGGCCUCGGCCCGAGUUGUAAUUUGCAGAGGAUGCUUCCGGCGACGUGCCUUCCGAGUCCCCUGGAACGGGGCGCCUGAGAGGGUGAGAGCCCCGUACGGCUGGACGCCGAGCCUGUGUGAAGCUCCUUCGACGAGUCGAGUAGUUUGGGAAUGCUGCUCUAAAUGGGAGGUAAAUUCCUUCUAAAGCUAAAUACCGGCCAGAGACCGAUAGCGCACAAGUAGAGUGAUCGAAAGAUGAAAAGCACUUUGGAAAGAGGGUUAAACAGUACGUGAAAUUGCUGAAAGGGAAGCGCUCGCGACCAGACUCGCGCCGGGCGGAUCAUCCAGCGUUCUCGCUGGUGCACUUCGCCCGGCCCGGGCCAGCAUCGGUUCUAGCGGGGGGACAAAAGCCCGGGAAACGUAGCUCCCUCCGGGGAGUGUUAUAGUCCCUCGCCUAAUAUCCCCGCCGGGACCGAGGACCGCGCCUCGUGCAAGGAUGCUGGCGUAAUGGUCGCCAGCGACCCGUCUUGAAACACGGACCAAGGAGUCGAACAUUCGUGCGAGUGUUUGGGUGGAAACCCCUCACGCGUAAUGAAAGUGAACGGAGGUGGGAGCUUCGGCGCACCAUCGACCGAUCCUGAAGCUUGUCGGAUGGAUUUGAGUGGGAGCAUGACUGUUCGGACCCGAAAGAUGGUGAACUAUGCCUGCGUAGGGUGAAGCCAGAGGAAACUCUGGUGGAGGCUCGCAGCGGUUCUGACGUG